AACGAACGCUGGCGGCAUGCCUAACACAUGCAAGUCGAACGAGACCUUCGGGUCUAGUGGCGCACGGGUGCGUAACGCGUGGGAACCUGCCCUUAGGUUCGGAAUAACUCCCCGAAAGGGGUGCUAAUACCGGUUAAUGUCUUCGGACCAAAGAUUUAUCGCCUUUGGAUGGGCCCGCGUUGGAUUAGCUAGUUGUUAGGGUAAAAGCCUACCAAGGCGACGAUCCAUAGCUGGUCUGAGAGGAUGAUCAGCCACACUGGGACUGAGACACGGCCCAGACUCCUACGGGAGGCAGCAGUGGGGAAUAAUGGAAAAUGGGCGAAAGCCUGAUCCAGCAAUGCCGCGUGAGUGAUGAAGGCCUUAGGGUUGUAAAGCUCUUUUACCCGGGAUGAUAAUGACAGUACCGGGAGAAUAAGCACCGGCUAACUCCGUG
rnacentral:rRNA from 1 species